UGGGAAAAGCCACUCCCCUCUUGGUGCAAGUCAGCUGCGUCAGAAGCAGGCUAUGGCACCCACGGCAGCCUCAGAUUCUCCCCACCGCGCCCCCACUUCUGUCAGGGCCGGCUCAGGGGCUGCUGCUGAAUUCCCAUGCGAGGCUCACUCGGCGGUCAGGAAGAGGAAAGCUGCUCUGGGAAUAGCAAACUCCAGGGAGCCAGGAUUACAGGCACGUGGGGGAGGCAGCGGAGGUGGCUGUUUCACACUCUGUCACAAUGGAGGUAGCAGUUUCCUUUUGAGGGACUGGAAAUGUGACCUACUUCCUCGUAACAAGGAUGCUGCGUCAGCACUUGGAUGGAAAACACAGGUGAAGGAUGUGCUCCUCCCCAGACAGAACAAGAAAGAAAAAGAACAUCAAAUAGCAAAUGAAUAGCAUCAUAAGAAGUCAAGAGAAAGACCAUGGAAGAAAGAAGAACCUUUAACAGCGCUUUUUUCAUGAUCUUUGAACAAGGAGCUCUAAAUUGUCAUUUUGCACUGGCCCUGUCCCAGCUCAUGUUUGUUGAGUGAAAUAAUAAAUAAAUAAAUGCAUACAUGCAUAUUUAUUAAAAUGUGGAACACACUGAUUAUCUUCCAUUUCCUAACAACACUGUGUGUAAUCAGGAUUGCAGGCAUGUUAUGAAAUACUAAAAGAGCUGAAUAUUAAAAUUACUCUGGAAUCAUAUAUGCUUAUUGUUGGGGUUAUUUGUCACAUCUCCAAAGUCAUCACAGUUUUCUCAGCAUCAAUGUCCUCAUCUCACCCCAGUCCUAGUUCUAGUCUUAGUGGAAUAGAUUGUAUCAGACUAAUCCUCUGACAGACAACAAUGGUCAACUGUGGAUGAAAUUUUAAAACAACUAUUUAAAGAUGCCAGAGAGCAAACAAAAGCAGACAAGUUAGGGAGAUUUCAACCCAUGAAAUCAAUAAACAUACUGACUGAGACUCAUGCACACAGACAUUACAGAGGGACCGAAGCUCUAUGGGAGGAGGACCCUUGUCCAUUUUGUUGAUGGCACAUAGUAGAUGCUCAAUAAAUUUUUGUUGUCAAAUGAAUGUUUUGUUUGGCUGACCACAUUUGUUGUUUUUUCAGUUUUACUGAGGGAUGAUUUAUGUAAAAUAAAAUUCACACUUUUUAAUUGUACCAUUUUAUGAGUUUCACAAACAUAUACAGUUGUGUCUGCCACUAUGAUCAAGACGUAGAGUAUUUCCAACACCAUAGAAAGUUCCUUUACACCCCUUUGCAGUUUAUCUUUUCCCAGCCCCAGCACCUGGCAAUCGCUGACCUGAUUUCUAUAGCUUUGCCUUUUCUAGAAAGUUGAAUAAAUGGAAUCACACUAAAUGUA